UAAAAACUACAUACUCUCAUAGAAAAUUAAAACAGUAAAUUAUUUAGUUUCUCGUAAUAAAUAUUGUGACCAAAUAUAACUGCACAAUACUCAUCAACAAACGAUCCAUCACGUUUACGCAAGAGAUAUAGAAUGACUAAUGACGCAAUACUUCGUUCCACCGAAUUUCUAACGGGUAACCUCUUUCGAAAGGAUAGUCUGUUCGGUAGGUACAUCGAUCCAGUCACCAAAACGAACGACAGGCGGCUCUGAAUUCGACUCGAGAGAUCGCAGAAUCCAUCUCAUAGCCAUAUGUGCGAUGAGAGAAGUAUGUAACGGGCAACUGGCCGAUGGAAUUAGUUUCUUUUUUUGAGGCAGGUCACUGACACCAAACGGCGAUGGAUUGACGCGGCGGGGUCAAGUUCUACGUGCGUUGUCGACAGUACUUCGCGUUUAAAGGUAUCGCCGAGCAUUCCUUGCAGGAUAUCACGUUACUUACGGAACCAUGAUCAAUCGUUCGAACUCGGUCUAUGACUAUAGAACGAAAGUUGCAAGUCGUAAAUCGUUGCGAAAGUUGCGAACGGUGUUGCUCGUGAUAGCAAUUCGGUUAUGAUAUAUGUUUAAUGUGAAAAAAGGGAAAAGUGUUUCACCGUUUAUUUUAGUUUAAUUUAAUCGAAAUAUAUGAUUUAUAUUCAAUUAUAUUCGAAUAAUAGAUAACAAUCGACAACUAGUAAUUUUUGUGUACAAUAUUACCUACUUAAGAAAUCUAUAGGAAACUCUCUAAAAUUAACUUUUCUAAUUGACUUUAAUUUUUCAACGUAUUAAAUUGAAAUUAAAUUAUAUUCACAAAAUAGCAUUGUUUAAAAUUUUAAAUUGGUUCUCACAUCUUCUUAAGUCGGGACAGAAAAUGUUCGAAUGAAUUCCUAGCAUGAGAAUGCAAAUAACGGUGUUCACCAUCAAGAUAGAGAAACCAAAUGAUUGCAUUUACUUGGAAGCUUGAACCUUGGAAGCAUAAUUUUCUUAUUGAAUGUAACAAAGUUAUAUCAAAAAUGUUGGAAAUAUAAAACCAUGAUGUGAAAUAAUAUGGAAAUUUAGAUGAGAGAUAAAAAGGAUUGAAAAGAAAAAUAGAUUUUAAGAUAGUUAAAAGAAGUACUUUCUCUGAUUUAAAUUACUUAGUGAAAGUGAUUAUAAACAGGCUUUUAAAUAACUGUAGGAAUUUAGUAACAAAUAAAUAUUAUAAUUAACUGAUUCAUGGUUGAAAAGGUUCACACUAUAACCAUUCAAAGAGGAUCUAAUAAAUGUAUUUAAUAAGUAA